UACGUAGGGUGCGAGCGUUAAUCGGAAUUACUGGGCGUAAAGCGUGCGCAGGCGGUUCGUUAAGUCAGCUGUGAAAGCCCCGGGCUCAACCUGGGAAUGGCGGUUGAAACUGGCGAACUUGAAUCUGGCAGAGGGGGGGUGGAAUUCCACGUGUAGCAGUGAAAUGCGUAGAGAUGUGGAGGAAUACCGAUGGCGAAGGCAGCCCCCUGGGAUAACACUGACGCUCAUGCACGAAAGCGUGGGGAGCAAACAGG
rnacentral:rRNA from 1 species